AAACAAACCUAAGAGCACAGGACAGGCAGUCUGAGACACACUUUUCCCAGGCAGAGAAAUGAGACACGGGAGAACUAACUUAAACAAACACGGGUAUUAGUCUCCUUUGAAAUUGCUACACGAUUGUUUUGAAGCUGAUAUGUAGCAGUCUCUAGAGGGCAGAGAUGCCAAUAUCCUCAGGAGCAGUGGUACAUCCCAGAGUUGAUUCCUACUUGAGAAUACAUUUGGCGAGCCUUCCAAAAGAGAGGAGGAGGGAAAUCCUGGUCACCUUGGUGGGUGCUGCUGAUGACAACCAAUCAUGUGUGUCUGGUCCAGAUGGAGAGUUUACAGGAGGAGACACUUCUCAUCCUCAACGCAGCAGUAGCCGAGAUGAAGAGGAACUCGACAAACUCUCUCUUAAAGAUCCCUCCAAAAAAUCGUCCACAUGUGCCAUUCUUUAGUCUGGGGAUUUGGAUAAAGACAUGAAUGAAGACUGUCA